ACGUGUUGGUCUGUGUAGAGUGGUGCAUCCUGGGACGGGUCGUGUUCUGGAGGUGAGCACUACACAGCCUGGGGUUCAGUUCUACACGUCCAACUUCCUGGAUGGGACAUUGAAAGGAAAGGGUGGAGCUGCUUACUCCAAACACAGUGCCUUCUGUUUAGAGACCCAAAACUGGCCAGAUGCUGUUAACCAGCCUCAUUUUCCUGAUGCUCUGCUGAGGCCAGGAGAGACGUACACACACACAACAUGCUUCACAUUCUCAGUGCUCUGAAAUUACAUCAGCAUGUGAAGUUUACUUUUACAUAACGGUACACAACUGCACACUUUUCUAGCAGAAUGUUACAUGACCAACAUAAUGUACUGCUUCUAUGACCAUGAUAUUGUAUUUCUAGAGUUUGCUCAUGUUUUAGUAGGGGAUAUUUGUUCCCCCUACCAUAAAUCCUACACUAACACGAUUACUACUAAAAGUUAAAAGACAUGAAGGUUUGCUUGUAAUCAUACAUUUUAAUGUCAUCUAAUAAAAACAAAGCCUGUAA